UAAUUGAAGAGUUUGAUCAUGGCUCAGAUUGAACGCUGGCGGCAGGCUUAACACAUGCAAGUCGAGCGGUAGCACAGGGGAGCUUGCUCCCUGGGUGACGAGCGGCGGACGGGUGAGUAAUGUCUGGGAAACUGCCUGAUGGAGGGGGAUAACUACUGGAAACGGUAGCUAAUACCGCAUAACGUCGCAAGACCAAAGAGGGGGACCUUCGGGCCUCUUGCCAUCAGAUGUGCCCAGAUGGGAUUAGCUAGUAGGUGGGGUAAUGGCUCACCUAGGCGACGAUCCCUAGCUGGUCUGAGAGGAUGACCAGCCACACUGGAACUGAGACACGGUCCAGACUCCUACGGGAGGCAGCAGUGGGGAAUAUUGCACAAUGGGCGCAAGCCUGAUGCAGCCAUGCCGCGUGUGUGAAGAAGGCCUUCGGGUUGUAAAGCACUUUCAGCGAGGAGGAAGGUGGUGAACUUAAUACGUUCACCAAUUGACGUUACUCGCAGAAGAAGCACCGGCUAACUCCGUGCCAGCAGCCGCGGUAAUACGGAGGGUGCAAGCGUUAAUCGGAAUUACUGGGCGUAAAGCGCACGCAGGCGGUUUGUUAAGUCAGA
rnacentral:rRNA from 1 species